AAACAAAGUUGUUUAGUUGGCUGUAUUUUUGUUUUUAAUUCAUUUCGUUUUUUUUGGGAGAGGUCCAGUCUCCAUGUGGCCAAUAAAGAGCAAGGAAGCCCAGCAGGCAGGAAGCUAAACCUCCCAUCAUACCGUGAAAAUACGAGCGCGAAUGAGGUUAAGUAAGUCUGUCCAUGUGAAGGAUCAGGUGUAUCUCUCCAGCUCCAUUGUGCUCUUGGUAUCCGGCCAUCGGUUUGACUGAUGAAGAGCAUCUUCAUAUAUACUGUGGUCAAAACUGAAGACUGGAUUGAUCUUGUGUCUGUUUAAGGUACACGCAAAGCCUAAUGAAAUCGGUCUGGGCACGAUGUGACUUUAAAAGUGUUCCUGUAGCAGCAAAAGGAGGAUGCUGGGAAGAGGAGGUCAGAGGUUCAGCCGUCAAAGAGGUUCACGAGUGAUGGAUGGCAGUCUGAGCUGCGCACAGCACAUAUACUGUAGCCUUAACCGCCGAAAAGGCCUGCACACAACACAAAUAAAUAAAUAAACACGUACAUCAAAGGAAUUUUCAAAAAGAAAAACAAAGCCAGAGCACGUUCACAAACUCACACUUACACACACACGUUACACACCCGUGCCAGAAAAAAAGAAAGCAAGCAGUCAAAGGCCUGAAAAUGCACACAUAGUUAACUGUCUGAUAACGGCAGGCUUGAGGAAAAUGAGACAAAACAAUACAGAAUAGCGAGAAGCAUAUGUGUAAUUCUGUAUUCGGUUUGAAAUGCUGCGGUGAGAUUUUGCUGAAGCUGAUUGAUGCCACUCUCUCUUGAAGGAUAGUGGACCUUGUGUCCUCGUGCAAAAAGUGUCUGUUAUUGCUUGUGUUGUGACGUGGGACACAAGGAAUGAAACAGCUGAAAUACAGUUUGAGCUGCUUCAUGGUAAAUUUGGUUAACAUUCUUUAAAUUAGCAAACUAAAAUUUGCUAAAAAUUGUCUCACUUCCAGGCCAUCCAAGAUGUAGAUGUGUUUGUUUGUCACAAUAACCCACAAGUUAUCCAUAUGACUCCAGUCCAUCAAUUGAUGUCUAGUGAAGUGAAAAACUGUGUGUUUGUAAGAAACAAAUCCAUCGAGGCAUUUUAACUUUAACCAUCACUUCUGUCCAUAAUCCAUACUAACGUUUCCUCCAGUGAAAAAGUCCAUCCCCUUUGUCCUCUCACAUCAAAAUACAGAUAUAUUUGAAAUGAACUUAUGGUGCAUGAUCUGUUCAUAUUUCUCGCCUGAUUUAGAUGAGAAGACUUUUUCACUGAAGACAGCAAUAUUAUGGAUAGAGGAUUCUGUAGUUUAGCCAGAAGCGAUGGUUUGCUUUGAUUACAAACAUACAGCUUUUUGCUUUCCAAGAUGUUAAAUAUAGGACUGGAGUCAUGUGGAUUACUUAUGGAUUAUGUGAUGUUUUUUUUCAGCUGUUUGGAUUCUGACGGCACCCAUUCACUGCAGAAGUGAUGUAAUGCUACAUUUCUCCAAAUCUGUUUAGAUGAGGAAACACACUCAUCUACAUCUUAGUUGGCCUGCGGGUGAGGACAUUUUCAGCUAAUUUUAAUUUUGGGGUUAACUAUUCCUUUUCACACUGUUCAAAUAAAUUCACACUGGUAGAUAGGAAGCAAUUACCUUUUAAUUUUUAUUUCUCUCAGCAAAAACUGAAUUCCACACUUUUGUGUUUGUUUCAUUGUUUGCAAUGUAAUGUAUACAUUAUGUUUACAGAUUUUUCCUCCUAAAAUCAUGAUUCUGUCUCAACCUGAUCAUAUGUCAUGCACACUUUCAGUGAUAAUAUUUCAGUAAAUAGUGCAUUAUAGGAUUACUAUUGUCUCUUAGGAAUCAACUGCGGUUCUGUAAGUGUUUUUCUAAAGCAACUACGAAGCAUAUGAUUCCCUUAUGGUUUGUAAAUGGUGCUCCUGUGUAUUUGAUUUCUCUGAGAUUCAACCACAGAGAUUCAAGGCCCGGCUAGAGACCAGUGUAGACCAGCAUGUAAAUUCAAGUCCGGUUAAUACUGGUUUUUAGUACUGGUCUAGGUGGUGAAUUAGCCAAAAAGUUCACAAGGAAAUCUAGUCGAUAUUUUGAGCAGAGAUGUUAGCCGAUGAAUUAGAGCCUAUAUUUGUGCAUCGGUUUAAGGCGUGAGGGGCGCUCUGGGUGGGUUUCAGUUUGGAUAAAAAUGCUUUGAGUUUCCUUGAGACCAGGUUGAGAUGUGGCCUUGAGCAGCUCUGGCCUUCAGGACAGGAUGAAAUAUUGAGUGUGCUCAGCGCCGCGGACGAAAGGCCCUGACUCUUUGUCCACACCGCAGCUGAAGGAGCAAGGGUCCAACGUCCCCUCAACAACCUCUUUGUGCCGAAUCUCCAAUGGAUCAGUCGGUCAGUGCUUCAUUUUUCAUUUUGCUUGCCUUUCUUUUCUCAACUUCUCUCUCUCUCUUAAUCAGGGCAGUCCAGGCCACACUUCUGUGACCUGGACUCAGUUUAGUACAGUUGAAAGAACACAUCAGAUUGUGCUGCUCUCUCUGAGGGGAUGAUAUUAUGGUACCUUUUACCUGUUAGGAGCUAGUGAGGCAUCUUGCACCUCUAUAAAUGAACUUCAGAGAGAUGUGACUGACAGAAACACACAGUGAGCUCACCUGUUUGACUGGCGGCUCUCUCAGGCCCUCACCGCUCUCUUUUUCCACUCACUGACUCCGGAGCUCUUUUUGGUCUUAAUGGCGCAGUAAUGGCUUAAGCAGACCGGCCUACGCCACACUCACAUAUUCACCGCCUGAAUACAAACGCACCAACACCUGGCUUGUUAAACCGGCUCUGGACUUGAAAGGUGGAAAUCUAACAUGCUUUUGCUCCAUUUAAUGAGUUAUUAAAUGAACACUUCACUGAAGACUGGCAUGGAUUUGUGGGAAAGACAAAGACAAAGAAUUGGGGCUCAUAUGAAUACUGCAGUAGGCUGAAGUAAAAAUAAGUGAUCAUUAAUAGAAAGUUUGUUUGUUUUAGCCAUAUUUUUUUUAUUUAUGUCUAUAUUAAUUGGAUUUGAAUUUAAACAUGUAUCAACAAUGAAGAAAAACAACAUGGAACAAAUUAGCAAUUGUUUAUCCAUGGUUUAGUGCAGUGUUGCAAAAGAAUGUAUUUGUAUACAGUAUAUCUUUAAUUUUUUUCUCAUUUGAAUAAGAUGCAUUUGGCUGAGUUAAUUAACCUGCUAACAAAACAAGCAAAUCCUGACAUUUUUGACUAUA